rnacentral:rRNA from 1 species
UACGGGGGGGGCAAGCGUUGUUCGGAAUUACUGGGCGUAAAGGGCUCGUAGGUGGCCAACUAAGUCGGACGUGAAAUCCCUCGGCUUAACCGGGGAACUGCGUCCGAUACUGGUUGGCUUGAGUUUGGGAGAGGGAUGCGGAAUUCCAGGUGUAGCGGUGAAAUGCGUAGAUAUCUGGAGGAACACCGGUGGCGAAGGCGGCUUCCUGGACCAUUACUGACACUGAAAAGCGAAAGCCAGGGGAGCAA